GUUCAGCACUAAGUCACUUUGUCUUUAUGGCAAAUGUGAGAUGCAGUGUAUGGAAUGUCAAAUUUCUAGUAUGAGAAAUUAACGAUUUAAGUCCUUCUUAAAUGAGGCCAUUUACCCAUAGAGGGUGCCAGGCCCGUAUAACGUUAAUGAUUACUAGAUGGCAUUUCCAAAGAGUCGUGUUGCUUGAUAGUGCAGCACUAAGUGGGUGGUAAACUCCAUCUAAAACUAAAUAUAACCAUGAGACCGAUAGUAAACAAGUACCGUGAGGGAAAGUUGAAAAGAACUCUGAAUAGAGAGUUAAAUAGUACGUGAAACUGCUUAGAGGUUAAGCCCGAUGAACCUGAAUAUCCAUUAUAGAAAAUUCAUCAUUAUGAUUUUAAUAUUUAUAAUAUUAUAAUAAUGGUGUGCAUUUUUUCUAUAACGGACAUUGUAAUCUAUUAACAUAAAUAUAUUUAUCAUAAGAUCAAUGAUGCGUAAGUUUAUUCAAAUUAUUUUGCUUGCAAUUUAACAUAGAAUAAAUGCUCUUGAUUUGAUAAAGUGUUGAUAGAUUUAUUGUAUAUAGUGCUUAAAUAUUUUAUAUUUUAUAAUAGCAUAUUAAUCAUUGGUUUUUAUGUUUAUUAUAUGCACUUAUAUGAUUAACAAUGCGAAAGAUUCAGGAUACCUUCGGGACCCGUCUUGAAACACGGACCAAGGAGUCUAACAUAUUUGCAAGUUAUUGGGUAUCAAAACCUAAUAGCGAAAUUAACAUAACUUAUAUGGGAUUAGUUUUUAGAUUAUUUAUAGUCUAUUAAUUCAAUCCCGGGGCGUUCUAUACAGUUAUGUAUAAUAAUAUUUAUAUUAUUUAUACCUCUAACUAGAGCGUACCUUGAGCAUAUAUGCUGUGACCCGAAAGAUGGUGAACUAUACUUGAUCAGGUUGAAGUCAGGGGAAACCCUGAUGGAAGACCGAAACAGUUCUGACGUGCAAAUCGAUUGUCAGA
rnacentral:rRNA from 1 species